UACGUAGGGCGCAAGCGUUGUCCGGAAUUAUUGGGCGUAAAGAGCUCGUAGGCGGCUUGUCACGUCGGGUGUGAAAGCCCGGGGCUUAACCCCGGGUCUGCAUUCGAUACGGGCUAGCUAGAGUGUGGUAGGGGAGAUCGGAAUUCCUGGUGUAGCGGUGAAAUGCGUAGAGAUCAAGGCGGAACACCCGUGGCGAAGGCGGCCAGCUGGGCCGUCCCUGACGCUGAGGCGCGAAGGCGUGGGGAGCGAACGGG
rnacentral:rRNA from 1 species